UACAGAGGGUGCGAGCGUUGUCCGGAAUCACUGGGCGUAAAGGGCGCGUAGGUGGCGACCCAAGUCGAUGGUGAAAGCUCGCCGCUCAACGGCGAGUCGGCCACCGAUACUGGGUUGCUGGAGCACUGUAGAGGCUCAUGGAAUUCCGGGUGUAGCGGUGGAAGUGGCGUAGAGAGUCCGGAAGAACACCGGUGGCGAAGGCGGUGAG
rnacentral:rRNA from 1 species